AAUUUAGUUAAAAUGAUGAUUUUUUAGUAGGAAUCUCAUUGAGCUGUUUACAGCUUUGAAAAUAACUUUACUAACUGAAUAGAAAAAU